rnacentral:rRNA from 1 species
AUGUGGGUCUUCUUCCGAUGGCAGCUUGUAGAAUUUCAUGGUCUUUUGAGUGGUGUUAAACCACUUUUAAUCUAUAUGUAUUAUGUUAUGCAUAUCCUUGAACGUCAGCCUAUUUUUCAAACUUUGUUGGUCAAACAUAGAGAGACAAAACCGCAGCCUAGCCUUUUUGCUUCCUUCAAAUAUGGUUUGAGUGAGCUUGAAUGCCUAUCGAGCAAGCCGUCCGUAAACAUCCUAUGUAGUGUACUUUUCUUCACACCCAAAGCUCUUGCGAGACUGCGUAUAGUUCUCCUUUGGCUGCAAUGA